ensembl:lincRNA
AUGCAGGUGAAUAAAUCUCCAGGUGUGGACCUUAAAGACUUUGGUUUUGCUCCAAAACCUUCUCUUCCCAGUAUAGCAAGGUCAGAAUAUUUAAACACACCUGAAUUGCCUGUAAUGGAGCAGAGGGAUCAGCAUGAGAUCUAUACAAAAAGUCAGCAACAACAACCAUCUGCAUAUCAAGACAAAGAAGUUUUGAAAGUGAACUUUGAAUUCGGAAAUGAAAUUUGGGAUGACUUUGAUGAUGAAAACUUAGUAGAAAUUACUAGCUUUUCAGCUGAAACUGAGAAGACAAAAACAUCAGGAUUUGGAAACACUUUGAGUUCAAGUACUGGGGAAAGUAAGCUACCAUUCCAAGAAUCAAAAGGCCAAUUCCAAAGAGAAACGUCUAAGAGUUUUGUCUCAUCACAUGAGAAGCCAGAUAUUUAUUUAUCAAAUUCUGCUGUGUCCAAGUUUGGUGCAUCCUCCAUGACACAAUUACCUCAACAAUCUGGAAAUGUCCAUUUACAAGAAAGAAAACAACAAAGUCUGUCACCAGAGAUUGAAAAGCUAUGCUUUACUCGCUCUGAAAAAAUAUCAAACUCUUCAAAUUUUAAUAAGAAAGUGGAUUGCUUUAUUAGAAAUGAAUGCAAAAAGGAGAUUGAUUUCAGGUAAGAACUCUUUAAAAAUAUUUUAAGACUAUACAAGUGAAAGCUUUCUACAAAGAAUUUCAGCAUUCCUUUUCCCUUGGUUCAUUUUAAGGAUCAGAACCUAAAUGUUUUAUUUACUUAAAGAUGUAAAAAUUUUAGACCGCUGGUAAGCUAAGCUCCUUAAGAUAAUUCAAAAUAUCAAAUAUCUCAAUUUUUGAGAACCUAUGUUUUUGAUGCUAGUAAUUAAAACACUGUGUUACAUUGAUAAACUUUUUUAUUAAUUUGAAUACAAUACGUUGAUAAUAUGAAAUAUGAGGUCACUUGAGAAAUGAGAUCAGCUAAUUUUUCUAAUGUUCUAGUUGUAUUUCAGCCCCCAAGUUCUGUUAUAAUUCUACAAGUUCAAAGAAGAAGUCCGGUUAAGUCUAAUCAGUGCCCCUACUGCUGAUUGUUUUUAUGGUUACUUUUAGCAGUUUCCCUCUUCCUCUUGAAUAGUCAAGGUUUCGAGACCUGUUGACAGUGAUUAAAUGGUGCUACUUUCUAAUAUGUCUAAAGAAAUAUCUAUCUAAUAUACUUGUCUCUACCUUUCAUAGUUCAUGAAUUCUAAUUUCCUCCAGACUUCCUAUAAGAUUAUGCCUGUUGAAGUUCAUUUGAUAAAUUACCUCUCAGCAAUCUUCAAGUUUAUCCAUUUUAUAUUUUUAGUACAUUAUUUAUUAUAAAUCUGUGUUAUAAAAAUAGUUACUUUUACAUUUGCUUUUCCCCCCAGUAGGUAUCAUCCUGAUGAUGAAGCUGAUGAAAUAAAGUCUUUUCUGGGAAUAUUUGAUGGUAUUUUCUAAAACAGACAAAAAUGCUUUUUAUAUUAACAAGACAAAGUAUGAAGACACCUUACAAAGCAUGAUUUUUAUUUUUAAAAAGUAGUUCAUACUUGUUCAGAUUUUUUUUUUCUUGGAUUUGACCAACUUUGUUGGCUUUUUUUGCAACAAAAUAUUUGGACUGAUUUUUCCCCCAUAAUAUUGUAACUUCAUGAAAAGCACUUUUAUGGUGGCUUUGUUUCAUAAGCUGAUAAUUAAGCUUCAUUUAGAAAUAAUUAUUUGGUUAUUAAUUGGAUUUAGACCAGAACCAAUAUAAUAUUUUCUUAAGAAGAAAUUCUGUGAAGACCAAAUGUUUGUAGGUCAGUAAAUCUAUUUAUUGUAUCAAUUUUUCACCAUUAAUUUACUAAAGGACUUUUUUUUUUUACUAAAGAUUGUUGAGAAUCCAGUGGCUGUCUGAACCUAUUCUUAUAUCAUUUCAAGCAACAAUAAAGGAAACGUUAAUCAGUGUAGACUGUCUUCCUUUAACUUGUUUUUUAAUGUGGUGAAUUCUAAAACUUUGUUAUGUUGAUUUUUAAUACAGCAAAAGUUAUUUGAUAUUAUUUUCCAGUGAGUUAUCUCUCAGAUUUCUUUAUUAAUAAGUAGUAUUAUAGGCACUCUGCUGCUGCUGCUGCUAAGUUGCUUCAGUUGUGUCCGACUCUGUGCAAGCCCAUAGACGGCAGCCCACCAGGCUCCCCAGUCCCUGGGAUUCUCCAGGCAAGAACACUGGAGUGGGUUGCCAUUUCCUUCUCCAAUGCAUGAAAGUGAAAAGUGAAAGUGAAGUCGCUCAGUCGUGUUUGA